rnacentral:lncRNA from 1 species
AGGUUUGUGAAGGGAGGCAUUGGAGAGAGAUCGACAGAGGCGGUCAGAGAUCCCCAGGGACUUCCAGGAGACCCCCUCCUCCGCGAAGAAGUAGCUGCCGUUCUUCUCCGCACCUUCUUCCACGGUCUCCGCGGCCGUGCCAAACGCCCUAGCCGUCACCCUCGCGCAGAGACCCGAGAAAGGCUUCGGCGCGGAGCCACAGUGGAGCGGCGGGCUCCGUGGGGAAAGCGAGCGUUUCGGGAGAAGAAAAAGUGGAGUUCCGACGAGGAGGGGACACAGAGUUUGGGGCGGAGGUGGUGGAGGAGAGGAGCGCGGCGGAGCGAGUGCAUCGUGUUGCUUCUCAUUCACCGCCGGCGAUCGUGGUACAUGGCGGAUGGGAUUUCGGCUGUAGAGAGAGGUGGAUUUCGGGCGUCUAACGGCGCCUGCGCUGGUUAUUCCAUUUUGGGCCUCCUCAGUCCUGAUAAACCCGG